GGAGAGGUGGCAGAGUGGUUGAAUGCGGCAGUCUCGAAAACUGCUUUGUCGCAAGGCAACGAGGGUUCGAAUCCCUCCCUCUCCG
rfam:Crocosphaera watsonii WH 8501 ctg331, whole genome shotgun sequence.